rnacentral:rRNA from 1 species
UAGGGAAUCUUCCGCAAUGGACGCAAGUCUGACGGAGCAACGCCGCGUGAGUGAAGAAGGAUUUCGGUUCGUAAAACUCUGUUGUUAGAGAAGAACAGCGCAUAGAGUAACUGUUAUGCGUGUGACGGUAUCUAACCAGAAAGCCACGGCUAACUACGUGCCAGCAGCCGCGGUAAUACGUAGGUGGCAAGCGUUGUCCGGAUUUAUUGGGCGUAAAGCGAGCGCAGGCGGUCAAUUAAGUCUGAUGUGAAAGCCCCCGGCUCAACCGGGGAGGGGCAUUGGAAACUGGUUGACUUGAGUGCAGAAGAGGAGAGUGGAAUUCCAUGUGUAGCGGUGAAAUGCGUAGAUAUAUGGAGGAACACCAGUGGCGAAGGCGACUCUCUGGUCUGUAACGGACGCUGAGGCUCGAAAGCGUGGGUAGCAAACAGG